rnacentral:rRNA from 1 species
UGGGGAAUAUUGGACAAUGGGCGCAAGCCUGAUCCAGCAAUGCCGCGUGUGUGAAGAAGGCCUUCGGGUUGUAAAGCACUUUUAUCAGGAGCGAAACGCUGUCGGCUAAUACCCGGCGGAACUGACGGUACCUGAGGAAUAAGCACCGGCUAACUUCGUGCCAGCAGCCGCGGUAAUACGAAGGGUGCAAGCGUUAAUCGGAAUUACUGGGCGUAAAGCGUGCGUAGGCGGUUUCUUAAGUCUGCUGUGAAAUCCCCGGGCUCAACCUGGGAAUGGCAGUGGAUACUGGGAGGCUAGAGUGUGUCAGAGGGUGGUGGAAUUCCCGGUGUAGCGGUGAAAUGCGUAGAGAUCGGGAGGAACAUCAGUGGCGAAGGCGGCCACCUGGGACAACACUGACGCUGAGGCACGAAAGCGUGGGGAGCAAACAGGAUUAGAUACCCUGGUAGUCCACGCCCUAAACGAUGCGAACUGGAUGUUGGUCUCAACUCGGAGAUCAGUGUCGAAGCUAACGCGUUAAGUUCGCCGCCUGGGGAGUACGGUCGCAAGACUGAAACUUAAAUGAAUUGACGGGGUCAUAGCUGUUUCC